ensembl:processed_transcript
AAGAAAGGUAAGCAUUGUAAAUUUGGUAUUUACUAUAUAAAUUAAGGUACUGUUAGUGAUGACCAAUAACGUUAAACAGAUGGGAAUCUCUCUGAAUAAGACUGAAGAUUGAUUGUUCAGCUGAAACAGUAUUUAAGAACAUCAGCAAAUACAGUUUAUAAAUACAUAUUUCUAAAUGGAGUGUAAUUUCUGCAGGUAUUACACAUGGAUCCCCUCAGUUGAAGGCACUGAUGGGUCUUUCUGAAUUUCUGGUCCUUCUGAAUUUCAAGGUAAGUCACCUUGUUUUUGUACAGACUGUAAUAGAGCUUGUAACCAGUGAUGUGCUGAUUCUGCCAAAUGAUACAAAGUGAUAUC